rnacentral:tRNA from 1 species
AAGAAAUUGAAGAUUCAAAAAAAGCUGCUAACUUUUUAUUUUAGCGGUUUAAUUCCGUUUAUAUUUCUUA